GACAGCAGUAGCCGCGGUAAAACGUAGGUCCCGAGCGUUGUCCGGAUUUAUUGGGCGUAAAGCGAGCGCAGGCGGUUAGAUAAGUCUGAAGUUAAAGGCUGUGGCUUAACCAUAGUACGCUUUGGAAACUGUUUAACUUGAGUGCAAGAGGGGAGAGUGGAAUUCCAUGUGUAGCGGUGAAAUGCGUAGAUAUAUGGAGGAACACCGGUGGCGAAAGCGGCUCUCUGGCUUGUAACUGACGCUGAGGCUCGAAAGCGUGGGGCGCAAACAGGAUUAGAUACCCCUGUAGUCCCUGUCUCUUAUACA
rnacentral:rRNA from 1 species